UACGUAGGUGGCAAGCGUUGUCCGGAUUUACUGGGCGUAAAGAGCGCGCAGGCGGUCGUUCAAGUCGCGUGUGAAAGCCCCCGGCUCAACUGGGGAGGGUCACGCGAUACUGAUCGACUCGAAGGCAGGAGAGGGUAGUGGAAUUCCCGGUGUAGUGGUGAAAUGCGUAGAUAUCGGGAAGAACAUCGGUGGCGAAAGCGGCCUGCUGGGCAGUUGCUGACACUGAGGCGCGACAGCGUGGGGAGCAAACAGG
rnacentral:rRNA from 1 species